ACUGUUCUUUGUUGUACUGUCCACAAUAUGGGUUGUGAGAUCGGUGGUUGGGUUUGUACUUAAAGUUGGGGAUGCUGUGGUUGCGUAUGUACUGAAAUUUGUGGGCGUGGUUGGAAGUUCAGGUGCAAUCUGUGAGGUCGUGAGGUUUAUUGUCAGAGGAGGGGAGGUUGUUGGCUCCUCUGUGGUUGUGAGGUUUAUUGUCAGAGGAGGGGAGGUUAUUGGCUCCUCUGUGGUUGUGAGGUUUAUUGUCAGAGGAGGAGAGGUUAUUGGUUCCUCUGUGGUUGUGAGGUUUAUUGUCAGAGGAGGGGAGGUUAUUGGCUCCUCUGUGGUCGUGAGGUUUAUUGUCAGAGGAGGGGAGGUUGUUGGUUCCUCUGUGGAGGUUAUUGGCUCUGUGGUCGUGAGGUUUAUU